ACAGGUCACUGGGCAGAUGUUCUGGAGCGGUUUCGUACCAGGGAAGAACAGGCAGCCAAGAGAACAGACGAACUGGAGUGAACUCUACACCAACCUGGAUGAAUCUCACAGGCGUGCUAUUGAGCAAAAGGAGCCAGACACGAGGGGGUAUGCGGGGCGCCAUCCCAUUGGCAUAAAGUUCAAACACAGCCGCGACGAUUCUCUGGUGUUAGAAGCCCGGAGAGCGGCCCCUCUUGGGGGAGGGGGGCACGUGGGAGCUUCGGCGCCACAGGCAUUGGAGGCUGCUGCUUCCUGAUCUGGGGGACACGGGUGUGUUCAAGUGGUGAAGAUUCACGAAGCUCCCCAGGCGUCCUUUCUGCCCUUUUCUGUAUGAAUGGCUGCCUCUGAACAAGUGUCCUGAAAACCAGAAGCAUCCGCGCUCUGCUAGAACGCGCACGAAGGCGCAGGCGUUGCGCACGGGAGGAUGGUGGCCUCCACUGCAGAAGAUGGAGAAACCGAGGCUUGGAGAGAGGAGCUCGUCUCUGCCCAGGGCCACAUCGGAGGCGUGGAAGCAGGAGGACCCUAUAGGACCGGCUCUCCCAUUUCUUCUCGCGGGAAGCAUUUACUGGCACCUCCUGUGUGUGACUGCGAAGAGGCGUCAGACGGGCUCCACUAGCCAAUGCCAGGGAGCGGAGAGAUGGACGAGCUGCCGCCCACAGACAGACAAACAGACCUACUGUGUGCCAGCCCCAGGCUCGGCUCCUCUGUGCUCUCUGCCAGUCCUACUGCAGCCCGCAAAAAUCCCUCCCCGUCCCGGGGUGGGCUGGGGACGAACCUUGUGAAUCCAGAGAAGGGGAUGUAACUGGAGAUCCAGACACUGCAGCGGGAGGCCACUCCGCCUGCUGACCAAGCUGGGGUCUGUGUUCACAGGAAAUGGGGCCACAGUUAUGCCAGAAAGAAACAUCAAGUUUCCUCUAACAAGCCAGAAGAAGUACAAGUAGGUGGUGCUGAUGGUGUGGUGUGUGCAUGUUGGGGAACACAGGAUGAAAAUCCAUCCUCGUGAAGGGGAUCGUUUCUUUCAUUUUAGACCUUUUAGGUUAAAAUCAGCCGCACAGCCCCAUCCUCCUUGCCUCACCUGAAACGGAGGGAUGUACGUGAGGUGCUCCGUGUAGCGUCUGGCCCCUGGCAAAGCCUGUUAUUAAUUUAGGUCAAAUGAGCCUGAAUGAGCACACGGCCCCUGCAGAUGGAUAUUUAUUUACAAAGUAUAGAUGUGUUUCUGAACCAGCAUAUUAUGUACACUCGGAAGCACAUACUCAAAUGGAAUUUUUAAAAAGAUGCUGAGUAGACACAAGCAGUCUGAUCUUUGCUCACCCAGUUACUGCUGCUCAGGACAGCCCUUGCCCAGCCCAGAGCUUUCUCUCCACCCAAGAGACAGCUGAGGGGUUGGGUCAGGGGCUGAUGUCCCAGAUGCCCCAUCCCGUGGGUUCUGCCACCUCCUCAUGCACCCCCUAGAAAGGAAGGCAUUAGACCUCCCACAGUGUACUGAUCAGGGAGAGGAACAUAAGGUAGACAUUUGUAUUUUAUUUAACCUGUAAGCCUUGCUUCCAGGUACUAUUCAAAUAUUUCACUAGUAUUAACUCAUUCCACCAUCAAUGAGGAGAGUUUCUAUAUUAACUUUGUUUUAGCAGAUGGGGAACUGAGGCCCAGGGGGAUUCAGUAAUUUGCCCAA